UACGGAGGGGGCUAGCGUUGUUCGGAAUUACUGGGCGUAAAGCGUGCGCAGGCGGCUCUGCAAGACAGAUGUGAAAUCCCCGGGCUCAACCUGGGAAUUGCAUUUGUGACUGCAGCGCUGGAGUGCGGCAGAGGGAGAUGGAAUUCCGCGUGUAGCAGUGAAAUGCGUAGAUAUGCGGAGGAACACCGAUGGCGAAGGCAAUCUCCUGGGCCUGCACUGACGCUCAUGCACGAAAGCGUGGGGAGCAAACAGG
rnacentral:rRNA from 1 species